GAUGAAGAACGCAGCGAAAUGCGAUAAGUAGUGUGAAUUGCAGAAUUCAGUGAAUCGUCGAAUCUUUGAACGCACAUUGCGCCCCUUGGUAUUCCAUGGGGCAUGCCUGUUCGAGCGUCAUUUGUACCUUCAAGCUUUGCUUGGUGUUGGGUGUUUGUCUCGCCUUUGCGUGUAGACUCGCCUUAAAAUAAUUGGCAGCCGGCGUAUUGAUUUCGGAGCGCAGUACAUCUCGCGCUUUGCACUCAUAACGACAGCGUCCAAAAGUACAUUUUACACUCUUGACCUCGGAUCAGGUAGGGAUACCCGCUGAACUUAAGCAUAUCAAUAAGCGGAGGA
rnacentral:misc_RNA from 1 species